UCCGGUUUAUCACCGACAGUUUCCUUAGGGUUCUCGACUUGACUCGUUAGCAACUAAGGACAAGGGUUGCGCUCGUUGCGGGACUUAACCCAACACCUCACGGCACGAGCUGACGACAGCCAUGCACCACCUGUGAUGGUGUCCCGAAGGAAAACCGGAUCUCUCCGGCGGUCGCAGGAUGUCAAACCCUGGUAAGGUUCUGCGCGUUGCGUCGAAUUAAACCACAUGCUCCACCGCUUGUGCGGGCCCCCGUCAAUUCCUUUGAGUUUCAACCUUGCGGUCGUACUCCCCAGGCGGGGUACUUCCUGCGUUAGCGCCGGCACCCAGAGGGUCGCUCCCCCAGGCACCUAGUACCCAUCGUUUACGGCGUGGACUAC
rnacentral:misc_RNA from 1 species